rnacentral:rRNA from 1 species
GGKUGAKUAAUGCCYAGGAAUCUGCCUGGUAGUGGGGGAUAACGUUCGGAAACGAACGCUAAUACCGCAUACKUCCUACGGGAGAAAGCAGGGGACCUUCGGGCCUUGCGCUAUCAGAUGAGCCUAGGUCGGAUUAGCUAGUUGGUGAGGUAAUGGCUCACCAAGGCGACRAUCCGUAACUGGUCUGAGAGGAUGAUCAGUCACACUGGAACUGARACACGGUCCAGACUCCUACGGGAGGCAGCAGUGGGGAAUAUUGGACAAUGGGCGAAAGCCUGAUCCAGCCAUGCCGCGUGUGUGAARAAGGUCUUCGGAUUGUAAAGCACUUUAAGUUGGGAGGAAGGGCAGUUACCUAAUACGUGAUUGUUUUGACGUUACCGACAGAAUAAGCACCGGCUAACUCUGUGCCAGCAGCCGCGGUAAUACAGAGGGUGCAAGCGUUAAUCGGAAUUACUGGGCGUAAAGCGCGCGUAGGUGGUUUGUUAAGUUGGAUGUGAAAUCCCCGGGCUCAACCUGGGAACUGCAUUCAAAACUGACUGACUAGAGUAUGGUAGAGGGUGGUGGAAUUUCCUGUGUAGCGGUGAAAUGCGUAGAUAUAGGAAGGAACACCAGUGSCGAAGGCGACCACCUGGACUAAUACUGACACUGAGGUGCGAAAGCGUGGGGAGCAAACWGGAUUAGAUACCCUGGUAGUCCACGCCGUAAACAAUGUCAACUAGCCGUUGCAAGCCUUGAGCUUUUAUUGGCGCAGCUAACGCAUUAAGUUGACCGCCUGGGUAGUACGGCCGCAAGGWUAAUACUCAAAUGAAUUG